UUCAAAUUCUAACUAGGUACUCAGAGAAACUUUGUUAUCUCUAUCCGGUUGUAAUGAACUUUAUCUACCACUUAAUCUAUAUAAACUUUAGUUAUCCAUUACUCUAUACGAACUUUCAUCCUUAUUCAUAGUUUGUGCAUGCUCUCCAAAAUUUGGAGACCGAAAGAAUGAUCACACGCUUUGUUCAUUUUAUCUAUCGCCUACUCCCUCCAUCAAAAAAAAUAAGUCACCCACAGAAUUUUUGAACAGAUUAACAAUAAAAUAAAAUGACUUCGAUUGCCCCUACUCCC
rnacentral:lncRNA from 1 species